CUUGGGGGUGGAGGACUGUCUCUG
rnacentral:piRNA from 1 species